ACAUUUAAAAAAAGAACUGUGCAAGCCCGAUCCCGUCUGAUCUCGGAAGGUAAGCAGGGUCGGGCCUGGUUAAUACUUGGAUAUGAGACCAAUUAGGAAGACCAGGCGUAAAAAGUA
rnacentral:rRNA from 1 species